rnacentral:rRNA from 1 species
CCUGAACGCUGGCGGCGUGGCUAAGACAUGCAAGUCGCACGGGGUAGCAAUACCCAGUGGCGAACGGGUGAGUAAUGAAUCGCUAAUGUGCCCCGGACUCUGGGAUAGCUAGCCGAAAGGUUAGGUAAUACCAGAUGAUAUAACCUUGUCGCAUGGCAGGGUUCUCAAAGGUCCGCUGGUCUGGGAGCAGGCGAUUUCGUAUCAGCCAGUUGGCGAGGUAACGGCUCACCAAGGCGACGACGCGUAGCCGGACUGAGAGGUUGGCCGGCCACAUUGGGACUGAGACACUGCCCAGACUCCUACGGGGGGCUGCAGUAACGAAUCUUCCGCAAUGUACGAAAGUAUGACGGAGCGACGCCGCGUGUAGGAGAAGCCCUUCGGGGUGUAAACUACUGUCAGGGGUUAGAAAGUUCUGAUCAACCCCAGAGGAAGGCACGGCUAACUCUGUGCCAGCAGCCGCGGUAAGACAGAGGUGCCAAGCGUUAGGCGGAAUCACUGGGCUUAAAGCGUGUGUAGGCGGAUGCCUAAGUACCUUGUGAAAUCCCACGGCUCAACCGUGGAACUGCUUGGUAUACUGGGUGUCUUGAGCCAGCUAGGGGCUACCGGAACAAAUGGUGGAGCGGUGAAAUGCGUAGAUAUCAUUUGGAACGCCAAUGGUGAAAACAGGUAGCUGGGGCUGUGCUGACGCUGAGACACGAGAGCCAGGGGAGCGAACGGGAUUAGAUACCCCGGUAGUCCUGGCCGUAAACGAUGUCGACUAGAUCGCAGUCCCUCUGAAGGGUUUGCGGUCGAAGCAAAAGUGCUAAGUCGACCGCCUGGGAAGUACGGUCGCAAGGCUAAAACUCAAAGAAAUUGACGGGGGCUCACACAAGCGGUGGAGCAUGUGGUUCAAUUCGAAGCAACGCGCAGAACCUUACCUGGGCUUGACAUGCCAGGAUUAU